GUGUAAGUUGUUGAGAGCGUAUGGUGGAUGCCUUGGCAUCAGGAGCCGAUGAAGGACGUGGGAAUCUGCGAUAAGCCUGGGGGAGUUGAUAACCGGACGGUGAUCCCAGGAUGUCCGAAUGGGGGAACCCCGCAUGCUGUGAGGUGUGUGACCUGACACUGAAUAUAUAGGUGUUAUGGAGGGAACGAGGGGAAGUGAAACAUCUCAGUACCCUCAGGAAGAGAAAACAAUAGUGAUUCCGUUAGUAGUGGCGAGCGAACGCGGAUGGGGCUAAACCUGUAUCGUGUGAUACCCGGCAGGGGUUGCGGUAUAGGGGUUGUGGGUGUAUGUGUCCAGUUACUGCCGUGGCUGGCUGGUGAGGUGCGGGCGUGGAGACGAAGCAGUGUGAGUGCUGCACCGUAGAGGGUGUGAGUCCCGUAGUCGUAUUAUGUUCCGCCGCUAGAUCGUAUGACCCGAGUAGCACGGGGCUCGUGGAAUCUCGUGUGAAUCUGCCAGGACCACCUGGUAAGCCUGAAUACUACCUGAUGACCGAUAGCGGAUCAGUACCGUGAGGGAAUGGUGAAAAGUACCCCGGGAGGGGAGUGAAAUAGUGCCUGAAACCAUGCGCUUACAAACCGUCAAAGCCCUUUUUGGGGUGAUGGCGUGCCUUUUGAAGAAUGAGCCUGCGAGUUAGUGCUGUGUCGCGAGGUUAACCCGUGUGGGGUAGUCGUAGCGAAAGCGAGUCUGAAUAGGGCGUUU
rnacentral:rRNA from 1 species